rnacentral:rRNA from 1 species
UGGGGAAUUUUCCGCAAUGGGCGAAAGCCUGACGGAGCAAUGCCGCGUGGAGGUGGAAGGCCUACGGGUCGUCAACUUCUUUUCUCGGAGAAGAAACAAUGACGGUAUCUGAGGAAUAAGCAUCGGCUAACUCUGUGCCC